AGCAGUAGGGAAUCUUCCACAAUGGGCGAAAGCCUGAUGGAGCAACGCCGCGUGUGUGAUGAAGGGUUUCGGCUCGUAAAACACUGUUGUAAGAGAAGAAUGACAUUGAGAGUAACUGUUCAAUGUGUGACGGUAUCUUACCAGAAAGGAACGGCUAAAUACGUGCCAGCAGCCGCGGUAAUACGUAUGUUCCAAGCGUUAUCCGGAUUUAUUGGGCGUAAAGCGAGCGCAGACGGUUAUUUAAGUCUGAAGUGAAAGCCCUCAGCUCAACUGAGGAAUUGCUUUGGAAACUGGAUGACUUGAGUGCAGUAGAGGAAAGUGGAACUCCAUGUGUAGCGGUGGAAU
rnacentral:rRNA from 1 species